UCAUUAUUUACAUGACACAUUUAUUUUCGUGUGGCUAAUUUUAGUUUCUGUAUUGAAUUUGCACUAAUUGGCUUCACCGGCUAAGAUUAAUACCUCUUUUGGUGAUUUGUAAAACAAGAUUGGAUGUCUGCUUGAUGACACUAUUAAAGUGGCUGCUGUUGACCCAAGAAAGUCACUGUAUAAAUAAGCAUCAAGGAUUAUGGUAUUUAACUGGAACGGAGGAUUUGCUUUUUUAAUGACUAGAGAAGUACAAUAUGGACACACAAAUUCUCUGACAUUAAGCAUCAUUUGCAAUAAUCAGUUCUUUCAUAAUUAUUUUUGAAAUAUUUUAGCAAUUGAUUUUUACAAAAGAAAUUUUCAUGUAACUAUGACCAAUGACCCGCCAUCGUAUUGCAUAAGGUGAUGCGUUCACUCCCACUUUAGUGACACAUCAAGACGUAAUGGUUAUUUGCUAAAUGUCUUUUGAGAAAAUGCGAAAUAAAAGAUGAUUUAAAGUAUUAA